AGUUAUUCGGAUAAAAUAGAUCGGACGCUAGCAUUUCAAUUUGGGUGAGGUCACCUUAGUGCCACCGCGUCUGGGAUUGACGACAGUUACCACACCGCAGCCACUGCACGUCGACACGCGCAGGAAUUCUCAAACAGCUCAGACCGGAAUAUCUUCGACGUUGUCACGUGGUACUGAAAUGUUACCAAUGUACUUCUCACAAA